GAUUAACGCUAGCGGUAUGCCUAAUACAUGCAAGUCGAACGAGUAGCAAUACUAGUGGCAAACGGGUGAGUAAUGUGUAUCUAACCUACCUUUUAGAAAGGAAUAACUAGUCGAAAGAUUAGCUAAAACCUUAUAGGAAACACGAAGGCAUCUUUGUGUUUUUAAAAUUGCGUUUGCAAUACUUUAAGAUGGGGGUAUAUCUUAUCAGAUAGUUGGUGAGGUAAUGGCCCACCAAGUCUAUGACGAGUAACUAUGCUGAGAGGCAGAAUAGUCACAAUGGGACUGAGAUACGGCCCAUACUCCUACGGGAGGCAGCAGUAGGGAAUUUUUCACAAUGGGCGAAAGCCUGAUGGAGCAAUACCGCGUGAAUGACGAAGGUCGAAAGAUUGUAAAAUUCUUUUAUUUGGGAGGAACGAUGCUAAUAGGAAAUGAUUAGUAAGUGACUGUACCAUUUGAAUAAGUAACGGCCAACUUCGUGCCAGCAGCCGCGGUAAUACGAAGGUUACAAGCGUUAUCCGGAUUUACUGGGCGUAAAGCGAUGCGCAGGCUGAUUUGUAAGUCUGGUGUUAAAUGCAGUGGCUCAACCAUUGUAUGCAUUGGAAACUACAAGUCUAGAGUGUGAUAGGGAGUUUUAGAAUUUCAUGUGAAGCGGUGGAAUGCGUAGAUAUAUGAAAGAAUACCGGUGGGGAAGCCGAAAACUUAGGUCAUUACUGACGCUUAGGCUCGAAAGUAUGGGGAGCAAAUAGGAUUAGAUACCCUAGUAGUCCAUACUGUAAACGCUGAUCAUUAGUUGUUAGUACAAAUGUACUAGUAACGUAGCUAACGCGUUAAAUGAUCCGCCUGAGUAGUACAUUCGCAAGAAUGAAACUCAAAACGGAAUUGACGGGGACCCGCACAAGUGGUGGAGUAUGUUGUUUAAUUCGACGUUACACGCAGAACCUUACCAGGGCUUGACAUCUUCUGCAAAGUCCUAGAAAUAGGAUGGAGGUUAACAGAAUGACAGGUGGUGCAUGGUCGUCGUCAGCUCGUGUCGUGAGAUGUUGGGUUAAGUCCCGCAACGAGCGCAACCCCUGUUGCUAGUUAAUUUAUCUAGCAAGACUGCUGUCGUAAGACAGAGGAAGGUGGGGAUGACGUCAAAUCAUCAUGCCCUUUAUGCCCUGGGCUACAAACGUACUACAAUGGCCGAUACAAACUGUUGCCAAACCGUAAGGUGGAGCUAAUCAGAGAAAGUCGGUCUCAGUUCAGAUUGAGGGCUGCAAUUCGCCCUCAUGAAGUUGGAAUCACUAGUAAUCGCGUAUCAGACAUGUCGCGGUGAAUGCGUUCUCGGGU
rnacentral:rRNA from 1 species